rnacentral:rRNA from 1 species
UGCGUAGGUGGUCUGUCAAGUCCGAUGUGAAAGCCCUAGGCUCAACCUGGGAACUGCAUUGGAAACUGGCAGUCUGGAGUGCGGUAGAGGGUAGCGGAAUUCCCGGUGUAGCAGUGAAAUGCGUAGAUAUCGGGAGGAACAUCCGUGGCGAAGGCGGCUACCUGGACCAGCACUGACACUGAGGCACGAAAGCGUGGGGAGCAAACA